UGUUAAAAUUUUCAUUCAUUUCUACUAUUAAAAAUUGGCAUGCUUGAUAGAAUAACCAAACAGUGAAACAUGAUGUGCCAUGUACACCUCAUACUAGCAUACAUGGACCAAUUUUUAUCAAUAGAAAUGGAUAAAAAAAUUUAAUA
rfam:Gossypium arboreum cultivar AKA8401 contig_33293_1, whole genome shotgun sequence.